CCCCUCCUCCCUCAGACCCAGGAGUCCAGACUCCAGCCCCUCCUCCCUCAGACUCAGGAGUCCAGGCCCCCAGCCCCUCCUCCCUCAGACCCCGGAGUCCAGGCCCAGCCCCUCCUCCCUCAGACCCAGGAGUCCAGACUCCAGCCCCUCCUCCCUCAGACCCAGGAGUCCAGACUCCAGCCCCUCCUCCCUCAGACCCAGGAGUCCAGACCCCAGCCCCUCCUCCCUCAGACCCAGGAGUCCAGACUCCAGCCCCUCCUCCCUCAGACUCAGGAGUCCAGACUCCAGCUCCUCCUCCCUCAGACUCAGGAGUCCAGACUCCAGCUCCUCCUCCCUCAGACCUAGGAGUUCAGACCCGCAGCCCCUCCUCCCACAGACUCCUUCCACAGAGUCCAGGCCUCCAGCCCCCUUGUCUCUCAGACUCUGGAGUUUGGGCCCCACGAUCCCCUCCUUUCUCAGACCCAAGAGUC
rnacentral:lncRNA from 1 species